GGGUACCGUCAUYWUCUUUCCCAAUAAAAGGAGUUUACAACCCGAAGACCUUCAUCCUCCACGCGGCGUCGCUGCAUCAGGGUUUCCCCCAUUGUGCAAUAUUCCCCACUGCUGCCUCCCGUAGGAGUCUGGACCGUGUCUCAGUUCCAGUGUGGCCGUUCAACCUCUCAGCCCGGCUACCCGUCUUUGGCUUGGUGGGCCGUUACCUCACCAACUACCUGAUAGGCCGCAGGCCCGUCCAUGAGCGUAUCGCUACUUUUACCACAAGAUUCACACCCCGUGGUCUUAUGGGGUAUUAGCCCAAGUUUCCCUGGGUUGUCCCCCGCUCAAGGGUAGGUUACCUACGUGUUACUCACCCGUCCGCCACUAAUUCAUAUCAAGUAUUGCUACUCAUUAUGAACCCGUUCGACUUGCAUGUGUUAAGCACGCCGCCAGCGUUCGUUCUGAGCCAUGAUCAAACUCUAAUCGAAUUCCCGCGGCCGCCAUGGCGGCCGGGAGCAUGCGACGUCGGGCCCAAUUCGCCCUAUAGUGAGUCGUAUUACAU
rnacentral:rRNA from 1 species